AGUGAUCAAUCCCGGGGCGAUUUACAGAUGCAGGAUCGGAAAGAAUCCCGGCCAGACGUGCGAACAGCUCCAGCUGGGUAGCCCUAAUGGAGAACCUUGUGGAAAGACUUGCUUGGAAGAGAGAGACAAUCAGUGGUUGGGGGUCACACUUUCCAGACAGCCAGGAGAAAAUGGAUCCAUCGUGAUUAUGUGAAAAAAUUUGGAGAAAAUUUUGCAUCAUGUCAAGCUGGAAUAUCCAGUUUUUACACAAAGGUAAUUGUUCAAAAAAUAGCUGCUAUAAAUGUUUACAUAUAGAAUCUUAAUUCUUCUCAUGGUUUGGAACACUGAUAUGUUUUAAAGUAAAAAUUGUGUAACAUCUUCAUCAUGUCUCUUAAAUUUGAGUAUUACAACUUAAUUUUUGCCACUCAAAAUUCCACAUAUAUUUCAAUAAAUUAUCAAUAUUUAGAUGGCUAUACUACAUAAGAUGAAUGAAAAUCUAUGCUGAAGAACAUUUCUUUCAUCAACAAUUUAAUGAAAAUCAAAAGUAGCUACGGUUAAUUGUCUUGUUAACUUAGGUAUUGAAAAUAUCAACCCAAGUAUGUUAUUUUAAAUUUCUAGUUGAGGGGCAAAGGAAGAAUAUCAGUCUAUAUUUUUCAUUAAAUUAUGAUAAUUGGGAAAUUUAAGAACUUAAUAUCCCCUUAAAUCAGAUAGACAAUAUUCCCAAGAUUUCUUACUCUCUUUCUAACAUUCUAAGAUAUGUAUGAAAGGGCACAGUUGUACUCAACCCCAAAUCUCUCAGUUUUUCUUAAAAACACACUGUGAAUUCAGAAAUGUUUUUUGACUCCAUGAAGAUCAGGCACUAUUUCAAGUUUGGGGUUGACAGUGUCUGCAAAUAUUAACAGUUAUAUUAAAAUGCUUACAAAGAAAAUGCUUUCUUCAGUUUAAGUUGACUUUUUUUAAGUUUAGGAUUGUUUAGGAGUAUAGAAAUAUGCUAAAGAUAUUUAAUUGCUGAAAGUGUUCAUACUAUACCAGGCUAAGGGCAUGCUCAUUCCAAUCUUCUCCUUCUCCUAAAUUUUCCUCUGUAUAACAAAAUAUGCCCCACAUUCCAUUGGACUUUUUCCCCUAAGCUAACAUUAUUACAAAUGUUUUCCCUAAGCUAACAUUAUUAGUCAG
rnacentral:sRNA from 1 species